rnacentral:ncRNA from 1 species
UUCUUCGGGGUUGGGUGAUUGCAGUUGCGAAAUUCCCUACCGGCGGUAUAGUCCGCGACCCGCUUCGGCGGCUGAUUUGGUGAAAUUCCAAAACCGACAGUAAAGUCUGGAUGAGAGAAGA